AGUGAACGCUGGCGGUAGGCCUAACACAUGCAAGUCGAACGGCAGCACAGUAAGAGCUUGCUCUUACGGGUGGCGAGUGGCGGACGGGUGAGGAAUACAUCGGAAUCUACUUUUUCGUGGGGGAUAACGUAGGGAAACUUACGCUAAUACCGCCUACGACCUACGGGUGAAAGCAGGGGAUCCUCGGACCUUGCGCGAUUGAAUGAGCCGAUGUCGGAUUAGCUAGUUGGCGGGGUAAAGGCCCACCAAGGCGACGAUCCGUAGCUGGUCUGAGAGGAUGAUCAGCCACACUGGAACUGAGACACGGUCCAGACUCCUACGGGAGGCAGCAGUGGGGAAUAUUGGACAAUGGGCGCAAGCCUGAUCCAGCCAUACCGCGUGGGUGAAGAAGGCCUUCGGGUUGUAAAGCCCUUUUGUUGGGAAAGAAAAGCAGCAGGUUAAUACCCCGCUGUUCUGACGGUACCCAAAGAAUAAGCACCGGCUAACUUCGUG
rnacentral:rRNA from 1 species